CUGUAGAUUUCUGAAAUUUAUUGUUUUCUCUGGUACAUAGUUCCACUGUUGGCGUCCUAUGCAUAGUCUCACUUGGAACAUCAACUGAUAAUUCAGGAUAUAGUUACUGGAUCGCUUAAUUCUGUUUUAGUAGGUAGCAUAUGAUUACUGACAUUACUGCCAUGUUUUUUCUAUUCCAGAAUUCAUUGUUAGGCACAUGAAAAAUAUGAUUUAAUAUGGAGCAGAAACAACUAAUGUUUUGUGACUGAUUCGACGCUCUAACAAACAUUCUUCAGGUUCAUGGCUUUGUCCAAGAAGCUGACCUCUAUUGACCAGAACAUCUCGUGCGAUCAUGCAUUUUUUAUGAAGGUUAGUUGUUCAGACUUGCAAAUGUAUUUUGGUGUAAUAUUAUUGUGAGAAGUGAUCGACGGUAUGGGUUAUACUUCUAUAACCCAGUGAAAUGGGUUAUAGAAGUACGAAGCUGCUCCGUGCUUCAAACAAUGCAUUUCAAUACGAAAAAGAUGGUACUUAUAUAGCUUACCAAUAUAGGGUGAGGAAAGUCAGUUCCAUUCAAUCGUGAAUACACGGACAAUAAAUCCGAUGUGGGAAAAAGUCCAGCACGCUGCAGAUAAAGCAAUGCGGCAUCUGUGGUUAGCUUUUACACAUACGAGUCAUAAAGAGCUUCUUGAAGUUUCAUCAUAUAAUAACAGUUGGAUUAAUUAUGUUGCUCAGUAAUGGGUGGGCACCUCUAUAAUGGGAGAAGGUGACUUCAGGGAUGAGUGUAGUAAUGGGAGAUCUUCAGCGUCUAGACAGGUCACUUCGCCAACUGGGAAUUUAGACCCAUAUCUCCCAGCUCUGCCUACCAAAAAUAUAAGACAAGAAGGACAAGCUCAAUUCACAGCUCAAGAGGGAUGUGUAAUAAGGGAAGAGAAAACUGCCAGGGGUAAAACAACUGAAAAGCAAACAUAAUACUAGCAAUCUAUAUCUCAGGAUAUGUUGAAAGAUAUUCAACACCAAGUGGGAGGAAAUCAUCAUAGCCAUUCAGAAAAGAAUAGAACUCAUCAACACACAACGGAAACAAAUAUGUUCUGUUCAGAAGACAUAAGUCCAAGUCCAGAUGGGUCGUUACUCACAUCAACACAAUAGAGAGGAAUAGAAAAGAAAAAACAAUGCAUAUUAAAGAAGGAAAAUCAAAUAUUUGCAGCGUAGCAAAAGAGGGCUCAGUUUUGCCUUUCAUCUUAAAGCCCAGCACUCACAUAGCUUGCUGCAUAAUCUACCCAUCGCGAUGUAAGAGGACUGUCCUGGUUAUCAUUCAUCAGAAUGACCGUCCAAGGCACAGAACAUCCAACAUUAGCUAUGAAUUGAAUUGCUGCAAGAGAGGUAAGGGUGCGCUCUAAUUUAGUACCCACAGGCCACAGCUGUCUUAAUUGCUCAAGAUAUGCUUAUUUCAGCCAUGGUCAUCAUCAUCGCCCCUGGUAAGAACUCCAUCUCUUCAUCACACAGAUCAAAUAUUUGUAGCGUAGCAAAAGAGGGCUCAGUUUUGCCUUUCAUCUUAAAGCCCAACACUCACAAGAGAACAUUGUUCAACAGAUGCUAUAAUGUACUAAGUGACAGUACAAGGUUUUCUCAUGCUAGGUGUAGAAAGAUUGCUAACUGAAACUGAAACUGAGAAUAUGGUUAAAAUAUCUCCCAGCUCUGCCUACAAAAAAUAUAAGACAUGCAGGACAAGCUCAAUUCACAACUCAAGAGGGCUGUGUAAUAAGGGAAGAGAAACUGCCAGGGGUAAAACAAUUGAAAAGCAAACAUAAUACCAGCAAUCUAUAUCUCAGGAUAUGUUGAAAGAUAUUGAGCACCAAGUGGGAGGAAAUCAUCAUAGCCAUUGAGAAAAGAAAAGAACUCAUCAACACACAACGGAAACAAAUAUGUUGUGUUCAGAAGACAUAAAUCCAAGUCCAGAUGGGUCGUUACUCACAUCAACACAAUAGAGAGGAAUACAAAAUAAAAAAACAAUGCAUAUUAAAGAAGGUAAAAUCAAAUAUUUGUAGAGUAGCAAAAGAGGGCUCAGUUUUGCCUUUCAUCUUAAAGCCGAACACUCACAUAGCUUGCUGUAUACUCUACCCAUCGCGAUGUAAGAGGACUGUCCUAGUUAUCAUUCAUCAGAAUGACCGUCCAAGGCACAGAACAUCCAACAUUAGCUAUGAAUUGAAUUGCUGCAAGAGAGGUAAGGGUGCGCUCUAAUUUAGUACCCACAGGCCACAGCUGUCUUAAUUGCUCAAGACAUGCUUAUUUCAGCCAUGGUCAUCAUCAUCGCCCCUGGUAAGAACUCCAUCUCUUCAUCACACAGUAGCAUCCAUCCAUCCAUCAGACUGGCCAUAGUGGUGAGUAACUUAGACAGUCUCUGGAGCUGCUCA
rnacentral:lncRNA from 1 species